CGGCUCAACCGGGCCCGGUGCUCCUCUCUCCAUGUGCCUGCCUGUCUCUGCGGACUCUUGGCCAGGGCUCAGAUACGCAGAAGCCUAUGGAAGGGGGAACUGGUGCAGUUAUCAGUCAAUCCUCCCACAGUGCUGGGAGCCACCGCACCUGGCAGUCGUUGCUGAGUCUAAGGACACCCACCUCCUCUGCAUGAGUGCUGUUGUGCCUUCCUGUCGAUGACAUAUCUAUGUCACACACACACCUGUAUGCUGGCAAACACGGACACCUAUGUACAUUGGAGAAACCUGGGGAAAGCCCCAGGUUAGCCACAGCCCUCCCAUACAGCCAGCCAGUCCCAUGCCCUGUGCAACCUCAGAGCCUUACUGAACCACACAUCACCUGGUGACCACAGGAUACCACAGUCUCUUUUGCUGUUGUCACUGCAGCCCACGUUUUCAAAGAUUUAUGCAUGAUCCCACUCUGCAGCCACCUGUGACUCCACUCUUCUCCACCAUGCACUAAGUCAAUGGCACAAAGUGCUCACUGCUGGAUGUUGCAAGGGAAGUCACAGUGUCCAGGUGUGGAAUGGUCCAGGCAUGAGGUCCAGCCCCCUACCUGCACUGAACUUUGACCUGGUCUGUGCUGGCCUCCAACAUAGAGCUUGCCUGCCCAGGCCUCGGAUCCUCACCUGUAGCACCCGCCAGACAGACUUUCUGUCUCUAUGAAGUUACCUCUUCUGGACACUCGAACUGAAUCACACUGCAUGUGCCCUUCAGUGUCCGGC